CUCUAGACGCCGCUAGUGCGCAUGCGCAGACAUGCACGCACAGUUCAAAACAAUCGGAACUUGUGUCUGUUUUGAUAUUUGUGAUUAAACAUCAUAAACAUCAUAAACAUCAUAAACAUCAUAAACAUCAACAACAUCAACCUCGCGUUCGUAUUUAACCUCGACACGCCUUCAGCAUCAAUCUUUUCCUCUCCGGAAGCUGAAAUCUAAAGCGGGCUGAAUGUGGGAUGGACAUGUACUGCGCUGUGAGAGACGAUCCGUCUGAUGCGGCCAGACAACAGGAGAGACACUAUUACCUGCUUUCAGAGCUGCAGACGCUCGUCAAGGACCUGCCCAGCUCGUUUCAGCAGCGUCUGUCCUACACCACACUCAGUGAUCUGGCUCAGGCGCUCAUCGACGGGACGGUGUAUGAAAUAGUGCAAGGCCUGCUGGACAUUCAACACCUGACGGAGAAAAACCUCUACAACCAGAGACAGAAGCUACACAGCGAGCACAGAGCUCUCAAGCAGGAUUUGGUUCGGAAGCACAGACAGUCUCUGCAGACGUGCAAGUCUCACAAUCUGUCCGUUCUGAAAACCAGCCAGAGAGCAGAAGCUGAGGCGCUCGAUCAGCGGGUGAAAGAAGAGCAGAGGAUGAUGGACGAGAAGGUGGUGGCUGAGAUGGAUCAGAAGGUUCUAGAUCAGCAGAACACGCUGGAGAAAGCAGGCGUGCCGGGUUUCUACAUCACCACUAACCCGCAGGAGGUGAUGAUGCAGAUGAAUCUGCUGGAGCUGAUCCUGAAGCUGCAGCAGAAAGAGACAGUGUCUGGAUCUCUGCCCUGAAGACGUGAAAGAAGGACCUUUAAAAAUCAUCUGAUCUCUGGGAUCUUCAGGACGAGAGAAAAUCACAGACGUGGACUUCUUCCCGUUUGGAGCGUCAUGUCAAAGCCGUGCACCUGUCCUCCUGCAGAGAUCUUCACCGCGACAGACGCUGAAUGCUGAUGGAAACAUGACAGGACUAUCAGAAUAAAACCAGUGCCUCUUCAUUUUAUUACAUACUAAUGAACACCGUCUGUCGCUCGCACUGCUUUUAGGGUUUAUGUACUGAGCGCUUUUGUCUUGAGGCAUUAGCUCCAAAAAAAAAAUAAUAUAAGUGGCUUUAGUAGACUAAUUAAAAGCCUGCC